GAUUCCCUUAGUAACGGCGAGCGAAAAGGGAACUGUCCAGCGCCAAGUCUCGGUUGUACCGAGAGAUGCGGCGUUAAUGCGUUGGCGCAUCGUGCACUGACGGGCGCUUCAAGUCCGCUUGACAGCGGUGCCCAGAGCGGGUGAUAGUCCCAUAGAAGGGCCGGUCUGGUGCACGCCGGCCAUCGCAUUCUAGAGUCAGGUUGCUUGAGAGUGCAGCUUAAAGUCGGUGGUAAACUCCAUCGAAGACUAAAUACUACAGCGAGACCGAUAGCAAACAAGUACCGUGAGGGAAAGUUGCAAAGCACUUUGAAGAGAGAGUCAAAAAGGACGUGAAACCACUGGUAGGCAAACAGAUGGAACCACGAAUGUGCGCUCUGGCCGAUUCAAUCGUGGUUGCGGGUGAGCCCGGCUGCCGGAGGGUCUCCUCGGAGGCCGCGGCUGUGGGGCUGGACGCCCGCGACGACGAUGCAUUUCGCGACGGAGAUGCAAAGCCACGUUCGACUAGAGUUGGAACGGCCGUAGGACGGGGCCAGGAGAAGGUGGCCGGCGCGUGCUUGCAUGCGUCGGUGUUACAGAUCCGGGCCGGAACCGUUGCCAAACGUGCUGGUCGAUGAAAGUUCUCCUUCAGGAGUGAAACCGUCACUGCCUGCGGCGAUUAGUGAGUCUGUGGCUGUGCACUUGCUGUGCUUGGUUGUGCAACAAACCACAGCUUCUAGGCUGACUAGGCGCGGCUUGCGGGUGGCGGUGGAACUGUGGUGCGAGUAGGUCGGUGUCCAUCUGACCCGUCUUGAAACACGGACCAAGGAGCCUAUCAUAUACGCGAGUCGCUCGGUCUUGACCAGGCCCGGGAGGCGGAAUGAAAGUGAGCUGCUAUGAGGCCUCGGCCGCAAUAGCGGUACGCCUACUUCGUUUGUUGGCGAUGAGGCGUAACUGGAGCGUAUACGAUGGUACCCGAAAGAUGGUGAACUAUGCCUGGGCAAGACGAAGCCAGAGGAAACUCUGGUGGAGGUCUGUAGCGAUUCUGACGUGCAAAUCGAUCGUCAGACCUGGGUAUAGGGGCGAAAGACUAAUCGAACCAUCUAGUAGCUGGUUCCCUCCGAAGUUUCCCUCAGGAUAGCAGGCGUUCAGCUGUUCAGUGUCAUCCGGUAAAGCUAAUGAUUAGAGGUCUUGGGGUUGAAACGACCUCAACCUAUUCUCAAACUUUAAAUGGGUGAGAUGGUUGACUUUCUUGAGUGAAGCCAACCUUCGGAUGUGAGUGCCUAGUGGGCCAUUUUUGGUAAGCAGAACUGGCGCUGUGGGAUGAACCAAACGCCGAGAUAAGGAAUCAAAUGCACACGCUCAUGAGACCCCAUGAAAGGUGUUGGUUGCUAUAGACAGCAGGACGGUGGCCAUGGAAGUCGGAAUCC
rnacentral:rRNA from 1 species